GAGCCCACAAAUACCGGAGUGUCUCAGGCCCACGAACAGUGUCAUUAACUCCAAGUUACACUUCCGAAUCUGGAGCUGUGAAUUUACUGUAAGGAGUCAGGGGAAGCAGCGACUACCGGAGGGAGAGAAUUCCUCCCUUCUCCAGAGGCCAAACAGUCUUCUCUAAGCUGGGCCCUGGACGGCUCAAAGGAGGAGGUCCCGGACCACCUGCAUUGUUUCAAGUUACCAAUGAUGGGCCAAAGAUCUUCCUGACCUGGAGGCUACCUAACUCGUCCUUCGCCUGUCGCCCACUUCCUGCACCUCCAGCAGCAGGCUCUAAAACAAUCCAGCUCCGGACUAGACAAUGCAGGGCAGGAAACUGGGGCUUUCUCCCCAUCCCGGCUUCAGGCAACCGUCCUGCAGGCGAACUAUAGGUGAGUCAGCUUUCCCCUCCUCGGGAAGUUACUCAGCUAUAUCUCUCUGAAGGACACAAGAAUGGACAAGAGACCCACCUUCUGUAUGGAUAGCAGGCCUUGCUGGUUGGCCGAGGACAAAAGGAGGGGUUUCUAGACUGUGGCUGCUCAGUCUCGACAAGGGCACUGUGGCCUGAUACCCCAAGCCCUGUUCUGGCUGCCCGAGAGGAGGAUCUGUAUCCUCUAGGCUGCGGAUGUCCCAAGGCUUGGUUGGGGUGGAAGAGGCAGGCAGCGGGGAGCCGUGUAAAGAAUCUGACCACCAGGUGGCGCUGGGCAACCGGCCGGCGGCUUGCUGCUUCUACAGCUACAGUAUGGCAGCGAGGUGGUCUUGGAGCCUGUGUCAGUCUGCCAUCUGGCCCCAAAGAGAAGGGCCUCCUUGCAGCAGUCCAAGGGAAAGGCGGAAGAUGAAGACUCACCCUGACAGAGCUCUUCCAGAACCCUGUGCUGAGCCCCAUUAGAUCUCCAGAGCCUCAACAGGGCAACCGUCUGACUCUGAGGCAUCAGAUGAAGCUAGAGAUCAGCUUCAUGGCUACUCUUUUCCACCUACAAGAUGGACAUGCCUUGCAAAACGUGAUCAUCACCCAGAAUUCCGCAUCCCAGGAGUCAAGGAGGGGCACUAUGGACUUUACUGAUGUGAGGUAACCCCUGAGGACGGCUGAGUUCAUAAACAGAGCCCUUGUCUAUAGGGGACUAUAGGAUAAGUGGGAAAGGGAGGGGAGGCACUCCCCAGAGAUCUAGGCAUCAGGGGUUAGGAGUCCUUUAGGGUGGAGCAGGGUUUUUCAUGGAGGAGGAAGCCUGCAGCCCAAAAGGUAAGGCUGGCCUUCUCAUCUUGCCUGCCAUUCAGUGCCUGAGUCUUGACUUCUGCUCACUCUGUGACAAGGGAACUCUCAACCUGUUGUAAGAAACAGCCAUGUUCUCCCUUUAUUGGGUGAUCUUGGGGGAACUGCCUGCUUCACCCUAGCACAGUUGGCUUCCUCUUUCUUCCCAGUGACGUCAGAGUGGGGGUACCAGUAGCUCCUUCUGGGAGGUGAGUUCAUUGUCACCAGAAAGAGGCUCUCCUAGGUGGUGUAUCUUUUUUUCCAUGUAGAACCUCAGCUUUGGGCCUGGGAUUGCCAUUUGCCUUCCAACCUCAUAGCCUGAUGGGAGUGGAGAGCUUGGAGUGGGCAGAUAGGUAAAAGGAGAGGAAGCACAGUUCCAUGGAGCCACAGGAGUUGUGAUUUUUUUCCCCCUAAAGAUCUCGCCAGUGCUAAGCCCUGUGUAUCUUGACCUGUGACAUUGGCAUCUGCCAGGCUGGGUGAGAGAGACAGGCACACAACAUAUGAACAGGGAGACACAGAGGUGCAGGAGUCUUGUGUGCAGUUGAGCUCAGGAGACCUGCAAAUGCCCAUCACUCUCUGAGGUUGUAGAUGUCUUCCAGAGCUGACAGCAUUUUUUGUUUCUCCUGAUUGGAUGAGCCACUGACGUGAGAUUAUAUGCCAUGCUACAUAGAGAGUUCACAGCCUCUCAAUCAGGACAUCUCCAGAUUUGGCCCUCUUAUACUGCGAAACCACGUAAUCAAGUAAGAUCCCACCAACAGGAUACCGGAAGUCAUUCCAUCUCACCCAAGUCGGAAUGGCGAUCAUCAAAAGCAAAUGGCGACAGAUGCUGGUGAGGAUGCGAGAGAAGAGGAACAUUUUUCCCUACUGACAAGGGUAUAAACUGUUGCAGUCACCAUGGAAAUCAGUGUGUAGAUUCCUCAAAAAACUAAAAAAAACGAGAACCACCGUACUAGCAUUCUUGGGUGUAUACUCAAAGGAACUGGAGUCUACCAAUCACAGAAAUACUUGCACAUACCUGUGUGUUGGCACACUAUUCACGAUGGCCAGCCAGGAAGUGGAGCUAGCUUAGCUGCUCGUCAACAGAUGGAUGCAUAAAGAGAAGGUGGUGCAUAUAUACAAUUGGAUUUUAUACAACAAAGAUGAAGUCAGGACAUUUGCAAAGAUAUGGACUGAAGUUGGGAAUUGUUGAGCCAAAUAAGCCAGACUCAGAUAAAAACACGUUAUGUUUUCUCUCAUAUGCAUAACCUAAAUUUAAAACUCUGUGUGUGUGUGUCUGUGUGUGUGUGUACGCACACACAGACAACUGAAAAGGGUGUGUGCUGGGGAUUAUUUUAAGUGAGCUGGGAAAUAGAGUAAUGGCCAUUCACAGCUGGAAAAUGAUGUGCGACACUCUUUGGGGGAGAAACCAGCGGGAGAAGGCAGUGGGGGAAGGAGAAACACUUGGCAACAAAGUAUAAUGGCCCAUAUGAAGUAAGAUGCUGUGAUGAAAGCCAUUACUUUAUAUGCUAACAAAACAAAUUUUAAAAAAGAAAAAACAAAGCAAAUAAUACUAAAAAACCUGAUUUUGGUCCCAACUUUGCCUUAAGUUUUGUGGAUUUGAAGUUGUUCUACAUCCCGGACCUGUGGAUUUUAUAUUUGGAUUUAAUUUGUAAAAUGAGAGUUUGGGCGAGCUCAGUAGAUUUUUUUUUUUUUUUUAUGUUCUUUGAAGCAACUUACUUUCCAGAAAGCCCUGCCUCUGAACCCCCCAUGUGUGAAGAGAUAAAAGCAGAGUUCUCAGGACUGGUACCCACAGCCAUGAAGCAGUCUGUGAGGCUGGUCUAUGCAAAGCCCAGGAGAAGAGGUUAGAGCUGGUAGAGCCCCUCUCAUAGGCUCCCUAGAGCCCAGCCAAAGAAGAAAACAGACAUUGUCAUUUCAUGGCUUUGCUCAGGGGAAACAAACCUUUUGUGACUGGAGACAAAGGGCAUCACUUGGCUGGGGAGCUUCCUCCCUGUAGAGCUGAAGAGCAGGGCUGCAGCUUUCUUCCCAGUGUCCAGCACACUCACUUGGCGGCCUCGAAUGACCUCCAAAAUAACCUGGAUGGAAGAAAUAUUUCUGGGGGUGGUGAUCCAAGCAGGACUGCAGAAAAUGAGAAAGAGAAGGGAGAAAAGCCAGUCAAGGGUGUGUCUAAGGUACCCCUUACCAGCUUGUGUGUCCACAGCCUGGGGAACUGACCAAGUCACUCUUCCUAGGCAAGAGCUGCUGACAUGGGGGCCCUUCUCUGGUCACUCCUUCUGCUCCUUCAGGAAGCUAAAGGGUUUUCUGGAGAUGAUGAGGACCCUGAGGAAGUGGUUGCAGCUCUUCAAGAGUCUAUCAGCCUUUCUCUGGAAAUACCAUCCAACGAAGAGGUUAAGGACAUCAUCUGGUUCUCUCAAAAAAACCUUGUCACAGUGGUGCCAGGGAAAGAGGGAACACCAGCUGUCAUCAUUGUGAUGGAUCCUCGAUACCAGGGUCGAGUGGGCAUCUCAGAGUCCAGCUACUCUCUGCAUAUCAGCAAUCUGACCUGGGAGGACUCGGGACUGUACCAAGCCAAAGUCAGCUUGAAUACAUCCCAGCUCUCUAUCACGAAGUCUUACGAUCUCCGUGUCUACCGGCGGCUGUCAAAGCCCCACAUCACUGUGAACUUUAGGAUCUCUGAGGAAGGUGCCUGUAACAUAUCCCUGAUGUGCUCCGUAGAGAGAGCAGGCAUGGAUGUGACCUACACCUGGCUUUCACCACAGGACAGCGCUAACAUGUCUCAUGAAGACGCUAUCAUCAGUACAUCUUGGAGGCCUGGUGACAGAGCGCUUUCCUAUAUUUGUAGGGCCAGCAACCCCGUCAGCAACAGCAGUUCCCAUCUCAUCCCUGUGGGGUCCUUCUGUGCAGAUCCUGGCUCUCCUGAGAAGCCUUCAAUGUCCUGCCUCCUGGCUAAGGGCUUGAUCCUUCUUUUCCUCUUGGUAAUUCUAGCUGUGGUGCUCUGUGUCUUCCAAGCCCGGAAAAACUAUGAGAUGUCAAGGGGUGCCUGUCAUUUCUUCCCCCCUGGACUUAUUUCUUCAAGUCCUUGGUGCUAGAAGCUGCCCCGGCAGCCCCACACUAGGGGAUCAGCCUCCAGGAAGCUACACACAGGGAGGCGCCUGGGCAAAAGCUGGGAGCGAGCCAACACAGACAGAUCUGGUGGCUCUCCAGACUGGACCAGCUCCCUCAGGUGUUGCAUGAGCUAGGCAUUACCUGGAGGAGUGAGAGCUGAGACUGGUUGCCUGAGGCGGAUCAGAACGACCGAUGCUCUCUGGGAUUGCUGGGCAGUGA